rnacentral:misc_RNA from 1 species
AAUUCUCAAGACUUUCUAGCUUUUUCAAAGUUAGCUAGGUUUGGAUUUUGGAGGUUGCUGGCUCUCUUGGGGACUCAGCUCUUCUUAAAUAUAUUAUGGAAGAGGUACUGCUUUCUAAUCGUCUUUGAGACAACUUGACAA